GUGAAUUUGAGCCAGGAGGGAACAGUGUCCUAAACAUUUCAUUUGUUUGAUCCGCAAAAAAAAUUCUUGCCACCUCUCCAUCUUAAGCUUGGCUUAAUGAUGAACUUUCUGAAAGCGAUGGGGAAAGAUAAUUCUGCAGGAUUUCAGUACUUGGUAAAGAAAUAUCCAAAGAUCAGUGCAGCAAAACUGAAGGAAGGAAUCUUUGUUGGGCCCCAAAUUUGUGAAGUUUUGCA